UGUCCUACGGGAGGCAGCAGUGGGGAAUAUUGCACAAUGGGGGAAACCCUGAUGCAGCGACGCCGCGUGAGUGAAGAAGUAUCUCGGUAUGUAAAGCUCUAUUAGCAGGAAAGAUAAUGACGGUACCUGACUAAGAAGCCCCGGCUAACUACGUGCCAGCAGCCGCGGUAAUACGUAGGGGGCAAGCGUUAUCCGGAUUUAUUGGGUGUAAAGGGUGCGUAGACGGGAAGGCAAGUUAGUUGUGAAAUCCCUCGGCUUAACUGAGGAACUGCAACUAAAACUAUCUUUCUUGAGUGCUGGAGAGG
rnacentral:rRNA from 1 species